rnacentral:rRNA from 1 species
UACGAAGGGGGCUAGCGUUGUUCGGAAUUACUGGGCGUAAAGCGCACGUAGGCGGAUGUUUAAGUUAGGGGUGAAAUCCCAGGGCUCAACCCUGGAACUGCCUCUAAUACUGGGCAUCUAGAGUCCGAGAGAGGUGAGUGGAAUUCCGAGUGUAGAGGUGAAAAUUCGUAGAUAUUCGGAGGAACACCAGUGGCGAAGGCGGCUCACUGGCUCGGUACUGACGCUGAGGUGCGAAAGCGUGGGGAGCAAACAGGG